rnacentral:lncRNA from 1 species
GAAUGGAAACACUUGAGCUGAUUUAAGCAGUGUACUGUGAUGGUGACCUCUGUGAUUGCAUCUCUGGGUUAGGAGAACAGACACCAAUAAUCGUUGCAAUGGGCUGACUUAAGUGUUCCACCGAUGUCACGAAUCCUGUGGUUGCAUCUAUGUGUUAAGAGCUUGGAGAGCAAAAACAGAUGCUGGAGGUGACUUCAGCACCUGUUGUCAUCAAGAUUGUCUGCUGCUUCCUUGUGUGGAAAGAGACCAAGAUGCCCUCGAGCUGCUUUCAGCAUCUUCCACCCUCAUGA